UAAGUGUGGAGAUUGAGAGAGUAGAGAUUGAGAGUGUGUUUAUUGAGAGAGUAGAGAUUGAAAGUGUAGAGAUUAGAGAGAGAGAAGUGUAGAGAUUAGAGUGAGAGAGAUCAAUGCAUUAAUUGCAUAUAUUCUCUAAGAUCACAAAAUAUUUCAUAAGAUCUUCAAAUCUCCCUUAAGAUUCACAAGAUCAAAUUAAAUCUUGUAAAGCAAAUUCUCUCUCCCUCACUUCACAAUUUUCGGCCAUCUCUCUCUCCCUCACACACAUUUUCGCCCAACACACACUCAUCUCCUUCAUCUCUCAUUUCCACCAUUUUCCUCCAUUGAUGAAAACCUUCGAAGCUUCCAAAAAUAUUACCAAACACCUCAAACCACUCUAAUAUCUUCCAUAAACACAUUCUAGCCACUUUUAAUCAAGAGAAUCCUUGAAGAAGAGCUCCAAAGUUAGAGUGAGAAAGUGUGAAUUUUGGUAAGAAUUUGGGCCCGAGCGAGACGAAGAAAUAAGUUGCCUGAUUUUCUUUCCAGGAUUAGCGAAGGACUUCAGGCUAAGCGAGGAGCGAGAUUGGUCUGGUGCUAGUGGGGGAAACGUUUCAAUCGAUGUAAUUAUAUUUCCGUAUUGCCUUCAUGUUAAUAGAGUCUUGAGGAUUGAGAUACUUUGUUUUCUUUUGAAAUCAAGCAAUUUACUCACGGUUAUGUGUCUUCAUACAUGUAAUCGAUUUGCCUUUUUGCUGCGAUACUCUGCAUAUUAUGCUUCCUUAUGAAAAAUGAGCUAUACCAGCUUUGUUUUUGUUCGUGAAA